rfam:Harpegnathos saltator strain R22 G/1 HarSal_1.0_2.contig1306, whole genome shotgun sequence.
GCUCUCUCUCCCCUCUCCCCGACUUCUUUUUCUUACAAAGUAUACAUGUGUAUGUAUAUAUAUAUAUAUAUAUACAUACACAUGUAUACUUUGUAAGAAAAAGAAGUCGGGGAGAGGGGAGAGAGAGC